rnacentral:rRNA from 1 species
UGAAGAAUUUAUCCAACGGGCGGGGGAUAGCCGGCCCAACGGCCGGGUAAUACCGCGUACGACCACAUGGGGACAUCCCUGAGUGGUGAAAGCAGCAAUGCGCCGAUGGAGUGCCUCGCGGCCUAUCAGCUAGUUGGUGAGGUAACGGCUCACCAAGGCGACGACGGGUAGCUGGUCUGAGAGGAUGGCCAGCCACAUUGGGACUGAGACACGGCCCGGACUCCGUACGGGAGCAG